rnacentral:rRNA from 1 species
AUUGAACGCUGGCGGCAGGCCUAACACAUGCAAGUCGAACGAGUGGCGGACGGGUGAGUAAUGUCUGGGAAACUGCCUGAUGGAGGGGGAUAACUACUGGAAACGGUAGCUAAUACCGCAUACCAUCGGAUGUGCCCAGAUGGGAUUAGCGAGGAGGUGGGGUAAAGGCUCACAUAGGCGCCGAUCCCGAGCUGGUCUGAGAGGAUGACCAUACACACUGGAAAUGAGAAACGGUCCAGACUCCUACGGGAGGCAGCAGUGGGGAUGAUUGCACAAUGGGCGCAAGCCUGAUGCAGCCAUGCCGCGUGUAUGAAGAAGGCCGUCGGGUUGUAAAGUACUUGCAGCGGGGAGGCGUUACCCGCAGAAGAAGCACCGGCUAACUCCGUGCCAGCAGCCGCGGUAAUUC